rnacentral:rRNA from 1 species
AGGACAAACGCUGGCGGCGUGCCUAAGACAUGCAAGUCGAACGGAAGGCUUCGGCCUUGAGUGGCGGACGGGUGAGGAGCGCGUGGAGAACCUGCCCCGGGGUGGGGGAUAACAGUCGGAAACGAUUGCUAAGACCGCAUACGACCAUUCGUUGCAGGAUGAAUGGGGAAAGCAGCGAUGUGCCCUGGGAGGGCUCCGCGUCGGAUUAGCUAGUUGGUGGGGUAACGGCCUACCAAGGCUGCGAUCCGUAGCUGGUCUGAGAGGACGACCAGCCACACUGGGACUGAGACACGGCCCAGACUCCUACGGGAGGCAGCAGUUAGGGAAUUUUGUCAAUGGGCGAAAGCCUGAACGAGUGACGCCGCGUGCGGGAUGACGCCUUUCGGGGUGUAAACCGCUUUUCCCAAGGACGAGGAUGGACGGUACUUGGGGAAUAAGUCUCGGCUAACUACGUGCCAGCAGCCGC